rnacentral:misc_RNA from 1 species
UUUCCGUAGGUGGACCUGCGGAAGGAUCAUUACAGAGUUCAUGCCCUGACGGGUAGAUCUCCCACCCUUGAAUAUUUAUACCUUAGUUGCUUUGGCAGGCCGUGGAAACACCAUGGGCUCCGGCUUAUGCGUGCCUGCCAGAGGAAACAAACUCUGUUUUUAGUGAUGUCUGAGUACUAUAUAAUAGUUAAAACUUUCAACAACGGAUCUCUUGGUUCUG